rnacentral:misc_RNA from 1 species
GUGAAUCAUCGAAUUUUUGAACGCAAAUUGCGCCCCCUGGUAUUCCGGGGAGCAUGCCUGUUUGAGGGUCAGUAAACACAAAAAACCGGUUUGGUUGUAAAUUGUGAUGUUUCCGGGGUUUGGGCUUAUCUGAACUUUUUUGGUUAAGAGGCUUAUAAUUGACCUUUUUUGCGCAUUUUUAGACGUAGAUAAAUUUUUUUUUUAUUCGUCUAGUCUGAAUGCCUAAGUCUUAUU